ensembl:lincRNA
GCGGGUUAUUUCCUGGUCGAACGGUCACCGCCCCUAACACAAACUGACCUAUCAUAAGCCGAGAAGAACAGGAGAAGCCAAUUACAGUUCGCCGUGGUCGCCCGCGGGGUGUGACGUACAGGUUGGUUGAGAGACUGUAGGAAUGUUUUCAAAGCGUGCGGCGAGAUUCGUGUGCUGAGACAGACUGCCAGGUUUAUGAAAGCUAAUAUUUCAUAAAGGGCUCGCUGCCAGCUCGCUGUUGAGAUGUGGGAGAGAGUGAUGUGGCGGGACCAGCCUUCAGGGGAUCCAACAGCCAUGCCGGAGUGAGGGAUCCAGAGAGAGGCACAUCGACAGGCGGAGCGCCCCCUUCUGUGCUGGGACUGCAGCACCGAACAGCUGAGGCCUGCUUUCUAAACCACCUGCGGUCUGCAACACCAGAUGAGACCGCCCAAGGAGAGCCCCGGCAGGGAGUCGGGGGAUGAGGCCCCGGGGCAAAGGUCUGGAGGGGGCGGCGAGGAGGGCGAGGGGGCCGACAGCGACAGCCAGCCUGAAAGCUGCCCCGCUUUGAAUGAGUGUGGCCCAGCGGAAAGCAAGAGGAGGAGGAAGAAGAAGAAGAAAAGAUUGUGGAUCAACCUCACCAACUGCAAGUAUGAAAGUGGUGAGUAACAAUGGAGGAGGGUUUGGGCAAUCAGCUCCCUGUAGGUACCCAAAGUGCUUCUUGAGAUCCAUUUCCUUUGCUUUGACAUACCAGGGGGCUUACUGUAAUAGGGAGUGGUGGAUAAACAUCUCACCCUGCUCAAGGUGAGGCACGUGCAGGUCCUCGAGAUAGGACUGGGCAGGUCUGGUUUCUUUGGGUUUGAUUCUGGAGUAGCAUAUCUGUUAAUACUAGCACAGUUGUUUUAAUCGCUGAUUAAGCCACCCUGAUCUGCAAGUAAUGUAAUUAGUUGGGCAAAUAGAUAGCCCUCACAGCUCUUGUCAGGCCAGGUGUGACUCUGCCUCCGGUCAGGGGGUGUCGUUACCAGUGAACACAGCACGUUUCCAUAUGAUUAACACCUGUAUCGCCUGUGCUGGUUGGAUGCAGCCUGACAGGACAAUAGCACAAGAAUUGGGCUUUCAUCAUUAUCCCUUCAACAAUAACAUUAAACUCAAGUGUUUUCUUUUCAUUGCUGUUUACUCAAGUCUUGAUUCCUUAAGGCAGUGCCAAGAUUAAAUUGCAUUCCAGGUUCGGUAAAACCAUUUGGUUUCUCAUCCUGACUCUGCACUCCUGUUAAAUUUCUUUUGGCAGGGGCAUAUUGAUUUGGCAUUGCUCCCAAAUGGAGAGUGAAAAAUAUUUAUUAUUAUUUUGUUAUUGCUUACAUUUAUAUAGCGCUUUUCUGGACACUCCACUCAAAGUGCUUUAAAGGUAAUGGGGAUCCCCUCCACCACCAGUGUGCAGCCCCACCUGGAUGAUGCGACGGCAGCCAUAGUGCGCCAGAACACUCACCACACAUCAGCUAUCAGUGGGGAGGAGAGCAGAGUAAUGAAGCCAGUUCAUAGAUGGGGAUUAUUAGGAGGCCAUGACUGGUAAG